UUUUUAUAAGGCUUAGACUUUGUACUUGCAGUAUGUCUGUAGCUAUAUAUAUAUAUGCGGUAGCUAAUUAGAUUAAAAGUGGCCUAGAACCCUAGCUGCUACGUAGGCCCUAUGUACAUUCCUAUGAUGGUGCAACAUGCAUGAGGCCUCCACCAAUGUUACCAUGUCAGCUAGCUCAUAAGAUUAAAAUACAAUAUUUUGUUUAGGUGGAAGAGGGAGAAAGAAAGUAGAGGGAAGAGCUAUCUCCUGAUCAUGAGAUAGUCUCAAGACAUAUUCCAAGACUAUGUGGGGCUGGUAUGUGGGUCCAUUUAUAUUUUGAGCUAUGUGCUAAGAGUUAGAUCAUUGAACAAGUUGUCUCUUAUGCCAUUUUUUAUUGCUAUGAGCUAGUGGUUGACUCUAACUGUUGGAGGAGGCCUUGAGAAUGAAGUGAUUAAGAUAAAGAGCUAGAGUACUAGCUAAUUACUAGCAGCUUUGAGCUUCUAAAAGUAGUAAAAAAAGAAGACAAUUUGCAAUUGAUCUAGGGCUUUGGCCUACCAAAUUGAGAUAGUGCAAGUGCAGCACAAAAAGAACUGCGGGUUUGUAGGCGAGCAAAAAUAUGCCCUCCGAGGAAUCAGAAACGAGGAUUGUGGAAAUUAAGCUGUGUGCAUACAUAACUACCAACUGACACCCACUGAUUACCCGGAAACAAAUGGGAGGCUUUUGGAUCGAAAAAGAAUGUCUUUUGUUAAAUAUUGCAAGGGAAUUCUCCCUCAACAAAAAGGCAUAUCUCUCACGCAAAUGAUGGCAACCAACACCUGUCCAUUGUCAUCGAAUCGAUGGCGAUACUUGUGACCUCUCUUCGGUAUAACAAAAUGUAUUAUUGAGAUUUCAGUUGUUGGCCACUCACAAGUGCCUUUUAUUUUCGUUCCUUUAUUAUCUUUGUUUAUUAGAAAUCAGGAGCUAAGGUUCUUCUUGAGAAAUUUGGAUUUUCGACACCUCUACGAAGAUAGGUUUCGCAAAUUUGACACUCAUAUUAUUGACACAUUGAUUUACUUGACAUUUUGCUUAUUUAAUAAUUUUAUUUCUCGUUUUCC
rnacentral:lncRNA from 1 species